rnacentral:rRNA from 1 species
UUAAACUAAGAAUAUAAGGGUAGAGUUUUAUAUUCAAAAAUUAAUAUAAGAUGAAGAUAUAAAUAAGUUUUUAUAAAUUAGACUUUUUAGUGGCCAUAUUAUUAAAGUAUUUUAACUAGUAAAAUAAAAAAAAGUUUUAUUUUUAUUCUCUUUUUUUUUAGUAGAAUAUAUUUUGUAUCAAAAAUAAAUUAGAAAUAAUGAAAAUAUUAGUAGAAAAAAAAUAUUAUUUGUAUAAAUAUAAAUUAAUAAAUAAAAUUUAAUAGAAGAGAAGAAAAAUUAAAGGAAUUCGGCAAUUUUUUUUCUUGCCUGUUUAACAAAAACAUGUCUGUAUGAAGUUAUAUAGAGUCUGGCCUGCCCAUUGAAUAAAUUUAAAAGGCCGCGGUAUAUUAACUGUGCAAAGGUAGCAUAAUCAUUAGCUUUUUAAUUGAAGGCUUGUAUGAAUGGUCGGACAAAGUAAAAGCUGUCUUUAAUUUUAUUUUUUGAAUUUAACUUUUAAGUGAAAAGGCUUAAAUGAGUUUAAGGGACGAUAAGACCCUAUAAAUCUUUAUAUUAAAUUGUUAUUUUGAAAUUUAAUGGGUUUGUUUAAAUAAACAAAAAAACAAAAAAUAUUUUGUUGGGGUGAUGAGAAUAUAAAAAUAACUGUUCUUAUUUUAUUCAAAGUUAUUUGUUUAAGAUUAGUAGAUCCUUUAUUUAAGAUUAAAAGUUUAAGUUACUUUAGGGAUAACAGCGUUAUUUUUUUUGAGAGUUCUUAUCGAAAAAAAAGUUUGCGACCUCGAUGUUGAAUUAAAAUUUCUCUACGGUGUAGAAGUUGUAGUAGAGAGUCUGUUCGACUUUUGAAAUUUU